UACGUAGGGUGCAAGCGUUUAAUCGGAAUUACUGGGCGUAAAGUGUGCGCAGGUGGCCGCGCAUGUCGAGUGUGAAAUCCCCCGGGCUUAACUUGGGAAUUGCGCUCGAAACUACGUGGCUCGAGUGUGGCAGAGGAAGGUGGAAUCCACGUGUAGCGGUGAAAUGCGUAGAGAUGUGGAGGAACACCGAUGGCGAAGGCA
rnacentral:rRNA from 1 species